rnacentral:tRNA from 1 species
CCCUUUGUGGCUCAGUUGGUAGAGCAUGGCGUUUCCAACGUCAGGGUUGUGGAUUCAAUUCCCACAAUGGAGU